rnacentral:rRNA from 1 species
AACGAACGCUGGCGGCAUGCCUAACACAUGCAAGUCGAACGAGACCUUCGGGUCUAGUUGCGCACGGGUGCGUAACGCGUGGGAACCUGCCCUUAGGUUCGGAAUAACUCCCCGAAAGGGGUGCUAAUACCGGAUAAUGUCUUCGGACCAAAGAUUUAUCGCCUUUGGAUGGGCCCGCGUUGGAUUAGCUAGUUGGUAGGGUAAAAGCCUACCAAGGGGACGAUCCAUAGCUGGUCUGGGAGGAUGAUCAGCCACACUGGGACUGAGACACGGCCCAGACUCCGACGGGAGGCAGCAGUGGGGAAUAUUGGACAAUGGGCGAAAGCCUGAUCCAGCAAUGCCGCGUGAGUGAUGAAGGCCUUAGGGUUGUAAAGCUCUUUUACCCGGGAUGAUAAUGACAGUACCGGGAGAAUAAGCACCGGCUAACUCCGUG